rnacentral:rRNA from 1 species
GGUUAAGUGACUAAGCGUACACGGUGGAUGCCUGGGCAGUCAGAGGCGAUGAAGGACGUACUAACUUGCGAUAAGCGCAGAUAAGGCAGUAAGAGCCGUUUGAGUCUGCGAUUUCCGAAUGGGGAAACCCAACUGCAUAAGCAGUUACUGUUAACUGAAUACAUAGGUUAACAGAGCAAACCGGGGGAACUGAAACAUCUAAGUACCCCGAGGAGAAGAAAUCAACCGAGAUUCCGGUAGUAGCGGCGAGCGAACCUGGAUUAGCCCUUAAGCACUCGGUGAAGUAGGUGAACAAGCUGGAAAGCUUGGCGAUACAGGGUGAUAGCCCCGUAACCGACGCUUCAUCGAGCGUGAAAUCGAGUAGGGCGGGACACGUGAUAUCCUGUCU